rnacentral:rRNA from 1 species
GGUAGUCCACGCCGUAAACGAUGUCGACUUGGAGGUUGUGCCCUUGAGGCGUGGCUUCCGGAGCUAACGCGUUAAGUCGACCGCCUGGGGAGUACGGCCGCAAGGUUAAAACUCAAAUGAAUUGACGGGGGCCCGCACAAGCGGUGGAGCAUGUGGUUUAAUUCGAUGCAACGCGAAGAACCUUACCUACUCUUGACAUCCAGAGAACUUAGCAGAGAUGCUUUGGUGCCUUCGGGAACUCUGAGACAGGUGCUGCACGGCUGUCGUCAGCUCGUGUUGUGAAAUGUUGGGUUAAGUCCCGCAACGAGCGCAACCCUUAUCCUUUGUUGCCAGCGGUUAGGCCGGGAACUCAAAGGAGACUGCCAGUGAUAAACUGGAGGAAGGUGGGGAUGACGUCAAGUCAUCAUGGCCCUUACGAGUAGGGCUACACACGUGCUACAAUGGCAUAUACAAGGAGAAGCGACCUCGCGAGAGCAAGCGGACCUCAUAAAGUAUGUCGUAGUCCGGAUUGGAGUCUGCAACUCGACUCCAUGAAGUCGGAAUCGCUAGUAAUCGUGGAUCAGAAUGCCACGGUGAAUACGUUCCCGGGCCUUGUACACACCGCCCGUCACACCAUGGGAGUGGGUUGCAAAAGAAGUAGGUAGCUUAACCUUCGGGAGGGCG